rnacentral:rRNA from 1 species
GAUGAACGCUGGCGGCGUGCCUAAUACAUGCAAGUCGAGCGAACAGACGAGGAGCUUGCUCCUCUGACGUUAGCGGCGGACGGGUGAGUAACACGUGGAUAACCUACCUAUAAGACUGGGAUAACUUCGGGAAACCGGAGCUAAUACCGGAUAAUAUAUUGAACCGCAUGGUUCAAUAGUGAAAGACGGUUUUGCUGUCACUUAUAGAUGGAUCCGCGCCGCAUUAGCUAGUUGGUAAGGUAACGGCUUACCAAGGCAACGAUGCGUAGCCGACCUGAGAGGGUGGUCGGCCACACGGGAACUGAGCCACGGUCCAGACUCCUACGGGAGGCAGCAGUAGGGAAUCUUCCGCAAAGGGCGAAAGCCUGACGGAGCAACGCCGAGUGAGUGAUGAAGGUCUUCGGAUCGUAAAACUCUGUUAUUAGGGAAGAACAAAUGUGUAAGUAACUAUGCACGUCUUGACGGUACCUAAUCAGAAAGCCACGGCUAACUACGUG